GCCAGGAAGAGGAAGAAAGAGAAUGUCUAAGAGCAGUGGGAAUGGGAACAUGGAGGAAAGCAUGAAAACUUCUGUUUGGUCUCAAUGUUUUCCUGAUGCCUCCCGUUCCUACGGUUCUUAGGUGCUCCUUCCUCUUCCUUAGGCCU
rnacentral:pre_miRNA from 1 species